GCUGGGCGUGGGGUGCACCUAUAGUCCCAGCUACUUGGGAGGCUGAGGCAGGAGGAUUGCUAGAGACCAGGAGUUCAAGGCCAGCCUGGGCAACUAAGUGAGACUCAAUCAAU
rnacentral:sRNA from 1 species